CGGCCAGGAGGAAGAAAAGGUGAGGAAGAAGAAAGCUCUGUGAGAGAACGCGUAUUUCGUGGCUGCUGGGCCGAGCUGGGCUGCAGGGCGUGCACGGGAGAAGUGGGCCGCGGCGCUACGGGGCUGCGCGAAGGGAGAGGCCGAGGCGGCUCGGCUGUGCGCGAAGUUGGGCCGAGGUAAGCAGGUAGGUUUUCGUUUUCCUUUUUCUUUUUUGUUUUCUACUUUUGCAAAUAGUUUUUGGAUUCAAAUUUCAAAUACCAUUUUGAAAAGCUGAAAAGUAGAAGAAUUCAAAUAUGGUACUAGUAUUUUGGAAAUAUUCAAAUGGGGUUAAAAGUUUGAAACAAAAGGAUCUGUUUAAUCUGUAAACUUUCAUGCGGACCACUUUUCCAUAGGACGUCAUCUUGAUGACGCUACUGUUUAAUCUGUAAACAGCUCUCAUCCAACCAUGGCUGGAUCUACAUGUCUUCACGUCGAUGCGACUUCAUGCCAUCAACUCUUCUUGUGAUGUCUACAAAACUCGACCAUCACAUGUUGAAUAUCUCCAAUACUG
rnacentral:lncRNA from 1 species